rnacentral:rRNA from 2 species
UGGGGAAUAUUGGACAAUGGGCGAAAGCCUGAUCCAGCCAUACCGCGUGUGUGAAGAAGGUCUUAGGAUUGUAAAGCACUUUAAGUUGGGAGGAAGGGUUGUAGCCUAAUACGCUGUAACUUUGACGUUACCGACAGAAUAAGCACCGGCUAACUCUGUGCCAGCAGCCGCGGUAAUACAGAGGGUGCAAGCGUUAAUCGGAAUUACUGGGCGUAAAGCGCGCGUAGGUGGUUCAGUAAGAUGGGUGUGAAAUCCCCGGGCUCAACCUGGGAACUGCUUUCAUAACUGCUGAGCUAGAGUACGGUAGAGGGUAGUGGAAUUUCCUGUGUAGCGGUGAAAUGCGUAGAUAUAGGAAGGAACACCAGUGGCGAAGGCGACUACCUGGACUGAUACUGACACUGAGGUGCGAAAGCGUGGGGAGCAAACAGG